AUGGCUCAGGACGACGCUGGCGGCGUGCCUAAUACAUGCAAGUCGAACGGUCUUUUCUAUGGAAGCUUGCUUCCACUGAGAAGAUAGUGGCGAACGGGUGAGUAACACGUGGGUAACCUGCCCAUAAGAGGGGGAUAACAUCCGGAAACGGGUGCUAAUACCGCAUAGUUUUCUUGAUCGCAUGAUCGGGAAAGGAAAGACGGCCUUUGUGCUGUCGCUUAUGGAUGGACCCGCGGCGUAUUAGUUAGUUGGUGAGGUAACGGCUCACCAAGACGAUGAUACGUAGCCGACCUGAGAGGGUGAUCGGCCACAUUGGGACUGAGACACGGCCCAAACUCCUACGGGAGGCAGCAGUAGGGAAUCUUCCGCAAUGGACGAAAGUCUGACGGAGCAACGCCGCGUGAGUGAAGAAAGGUUUUCGGAUCGUAAAACUCUGUUGUCAGAGAAGAACAAGUUGGAGAGUAACUGCUCCAGCCUUGACGGUAUCUGACCAGAAAGCCACGGCUAACUACGUGCCAGCCGCUGC
rnacentral:rRNA from 1 species